rnacentral:rRNA from 1 species
UACGGAGGGUGCGAGCGUUGUCCGGAAUCACUGGGCGUAAAGGGCGCGUAGGCGGCGCGGGAAGUCCGUGGCGAAAGCCCGAGGCUCAACUUCGGGUCGGCCAUGGAUACUCCUGGGCUCGAGCACUGUAGAGGCAGGUGGAAUUCCGGGUGUAGCGGUGGAAUGCGUAGAGAUCCGGAAGAACACCGGUGGCGAAGGCGGCCUGCUGGGCAGUAGCUGACGCUGAGGCGCGACAGCGUGGGGAGCAAACAGG